rnacentral:sRNA from 12 species
UUUGUGCGUACGAUAAGUGGAUACGUGUAUCCGAAUUUUGAGCACAGGGAAAUGAGCCUUGGCAACAGCGUGAGCAAUCACGGAAAGCCACAACAUAUACACACGGAGCAGAGUUUGGUAGGCAUGGCAACAUGAGCCGAAGAAGUCGUACUCC